rnacentral:rRNA from 1 species
AUUGAACGCUGGCGGCAGGCCUAACACAUGCAAGUCGAACGCGUGGCGGACGGGUGAGUAAUGUCUGUGACACUGCUCUAUGGCGGGGGAUAACUCCUGGAAACGGUAGCUAAUACCGCAUACCAUCGGAUUUGCCCAGAUGGGGUUGGCUAGUAGGUGGGGUAUCGGCUCACCUAGGCCACGAUCCCUAGCUGGUCUGAGAGGAUGACCAGCCACACUGGAACUGAGACACGGUCCAGACUCCUACGGGAGGCAGCAGUGGGGAAUAUUGCACAAUGGGCGCAAGCCUGAUGCAGCCAUGCCGCGUGUAUGAAGAAGGCCUUCGGGUUGUAAAGUACUUUCAGCGAGGAGGCGUUACUCGCAGAAGAAGCACCGGCUAACUCCGUGCCAGCAGCCGCGGUAAUUC